AAAAUGAUCUAUCAUUUUCUGAUAGAGAAUCAUUUUCUGAUAGACAUUGAUAAUUUUGGUGUUGAUGUAUAUUACUUUCACCAAUCAUAAAUUUAAUAAAGAACGCUGCUUUUAAUUCUAAAAUCUUCAGUGCUCGAUCACCCUCUUUCACCUUUUCAAAAUGGCUAUGACACAGUUUGUAAUGUCUUUUUAAACAAGACAUAACAUUGCGACUCAAAACGCGAUAGCAGAUCACGCAUCCAUGUUUUCUAUGCAAAAAAAAAAUUAUUUACCAUUCCUCCCGAAAAAUUUUAUGUGUGUAUUAUUCGAAUAAAUGCGCAGUGAAGUCUCAGCAGCACAGUAUACCAGUAGAAAAGGUUUUUGUUUUUGUAGCUGUUUCGUGGUGAAAGUCCUUUAUGGGGACCAAAUUUCCACACAAGAAAUUGAGCACAUGGUUGCUUUUGCGUCCCAAAAGAAUGAAUAUUAGAAAACAUUUAAAAAAAGUCUAAGUUUGCUCUGAGCGCUUGUGUUGUUUACCAAAAAAAUGCAGCCCUGUUGGUUUUUGUUUCUGUAUCGCAUCGCGGUGAGUUUCUAUUUCUUGGUAAUUCGGUUUGUGAAAUGACUAUUAAUUACAAGCACAGCAUCAUCAACGGUGAUUGCAAGAACUACUGCAAUCCCUGCGGUUUUUCCUCUUGGUAAAUGCGUUCAGGUCGUGAUCAAGGGUGGUCUCCCAAAUCGGCCGGGAAUAAGGCUAUUGUUGCAGAACAAAACGCCGCAACCAGUGCUGUGGUAAAUAUGUUCCAGCAGAACUGCCCACCGCCGUCGGUGUAAUGAUUUCGAUGGCUGAACAAACGCCAUCUCCUGGGCUAUUCCCACAGCUUGCGGACACUAGCUAUUAUAUCACGUGUGAAUGCAACUGCGGCUUAAUUUGGUUAUUAACAGUGCAGUAGUACCAUGUCAUUGGCAAAACGACUAAGGGCUGCUGGCACAAAUAGGUUGUAAAGUUUUUGGUAUCGAUGAACAUACUCGAAGAAGACGAUGACCGAAAACAUAUGAUGAAACAUCUUCUGGCAUGCCUUUGACAAUCGUUAAGUCAGACGGAGGCUUCACAUACGAUAUUUCACA